UACGGGGGGGGCAAGCGUUGUUCGGAAUUACUGGGCGUAAAGGGCUCGUAGGUGGCCAACUAAGUCGGACGUGAAAUCCCUCGGCUUAACCGGGGAACUGCGUCCGAUACUGGUUGGCUUGAGUUUGGGAGAGGGAUGCGGAAUUCCAGGUGUAGCGGUGAAAUGCGUAGAUAUCUGGAGGAACACCGGUGGCGAAGGCGGCCUUCUGGACAGUGACUGACGCUGAGACGCGAAAGCGUGGGGAGCAAACAGG
rnacentral:rRNA from 1 species